rnacentral:rRNA from 1 species
AUGAACGCUGGCGGCGUGCCUAAUACAUGCAAGUCGAGCGAACGGACGAGAAGCUUGCUUCUCUGAUGUUAGCGGCGGACGGGUGAGUAACACGUGGAUAACCUACCUAUAAGACUGGGAUAACUUCGGGAAACCGGAGCUAAUACCGGAUAAUAUUUUGAACCGCAUGGUUCAAAAGUGAAAGACGGUCUUGCUGUCACUUAUAGAUGGAUCCGCGCUGCAUUAGCUAGUUGGUAAGGUAACGGCUUACCAAGGCAACGAUGCAUAGCCGACCUGAGAGGGUGAAUGGCCAACCUGGGACGGAGACACGGUCCAGAAUCCUAAGGGAGGCAGCAGUAGGGAAUCUUCCGCAAUGGGCGAAAGCCUGACGGAGCAACGCCGCGUGAGUGAUGAAGGUCUUCGGAUCGUAAAACUCUGUUAUUAGGGAAGAACAUAUGUGUAAGUAACUGUGCACAUCUUGACGGUACCUAAUCAGAAAGCCACGGCUAACUACGUG